UGAAUACGAGACGCUAAGGCGUCGAAGUAGUGUAUGUCAUACUUCCAAGAAAAGCUUGCACUGUCAUAAAUAGAAAAUGCCUGUACCAUAACCGACACAGGUGGGUAGGUAGAGUAUACUAAGGGGCGCGAGAUAACUCUCUCUAAGGAACUCGGCAAAAUGACUCCGUAACUUCGGGAGAAGGAGUGCCUUAUUUUUAAGGUUGCAAUAACAAGAUCCAAGCAACUGUUUAUCAAAAACACAGGUCUCCGCUAAGUCGUAAGACGAUGUAUGGGGGCUGACGCCUGCCCAGUGCCAGAAGGUUAAAGAAGUUGGUUAGCAUUAGCGAAGCUGAUAACUGAAGCCCUGGUGAACGGCGGCCGUAACGAUAACGGUCCUAAGGUAGCGAAAUUCCUUGUCGGGUAAGUUCCGACCCGCACGAAAGGCGUAAUGAUUUGGAUACUGUCUCGGAGAGGGGCUCGGUGAAAUAGACUUGUCUGUGAAGAUGCGGACUACCUGCACCUGGACAGAAAGACCCUAUGAAGCUUUACUGUAACUUGAAAUUGAAAUUGGACUUUAGUCGCGCAGCAUAGGUGGGAGGCGUUGAUGAUGUUCUUGCGGGAACAUUGGAGCUAUCAGUGAGAUACCACUCUUCUAAUGUUAGAUUUCUAACUUUGAACCAUUACCUGGUCAGAGAACAGUUUCAGGCGGGCAGUUUGACUGGGGCGGUCGCCUCCCAAAUGGUAACGGAGGCGUACAAAGGUUUCCUCUGAACGGAUAGAAAUCGUAUCUAGAGUGUAAAGGCAUAAGGAAGCUUGACUGUGAGACCUACAAGUCGAGCAGGGACGAAAGUCGGUCUUAGUGAUCUGACGGUACUGAGUGGAAAGGCCGUCACUCAACGGAUAAAGGUUACUCUAGGAUAACAGGCUGAUCUCCCCCAAGAGUUCACAUCGACGGGGAGGUUUGGCACCUUGAUGUCGGCUCAUCGCAUCCUGGGGCGGUAGUACGUCCCAAGGGUUGGGCUGUUCGCCCAUGAAAGCGGUACGCGAGCUGGGUUCAGAACGUCGUGAGACAGUUCGGUCCAUAUCCGGUGUAGGCGUUAGAAUAUUGAGAGGAGCCUUCUCUAGUACGAGAGGACCGAGAAGGACAUACCUCUGGUGUACCAGUUAUCGUGCCAACGGUAAACGCCGCGUAGCUAUGUAUGGAGUGGAUAACCGCUGAAAGCAUCUAAGUGGGAAGCCCACCUCAAGAUGAGUAUUCUC
rnacentral:rRNA from 1 species